CAAACCCACCUCAGUCGUAGCAAGAAUACACACCUAAGCCACACACUGUAAGCAAAAUUGUAAUUUAGAGGGAGGGAGAUUUGUACUGCCACCAUAUUAAGAAAAAAAGAAUUUACGGUGAGUAAAAAUUUCAGUUUUUUUCUGACAUAUGGUGGCAGUACGUAUGGGAUAUAGCAAGAUCCCUAGUCGGGUGGGCCUUAUG
rnacentral:lncRNA from 1 species